GGUCCGUGCGCGCUUCUCCUCCCGCUAGCGUACGUCCUCCCCCACCCCGGACCGCCUCAACGACGGCCGGCCGUGCGGAAGGGAGAGGCGUGGCCAUUGCAUUGCCCCUCGUCAAUAAUGGCGCGGCAGAUGCACGCGCGCACGCACGUCGCCGUUGCUCCCAGCGUUCAGAGAUACACCUGCAGAUUAAACACGGUAUCCACUCAUUGCACAAUAUCCCCCCUCUACCGACAGCACAAGACAACCUGCUUAACCAUAUCAGCAAGAUCUUUCUUCGUUAUGCAUAUAAUGAACAAGAACCUUCCCUGAAGUUCAGAGCGGCCUAAUUAUCUCUCCAGGAACAUUUGGUGUGAUUUAGAACAGUUCCUGCAAACUGCAAUGCACAAUGCCAGCCUACCGACGUCCGACGACGAGCACAUACACUCCAUAAACUAGCACACCCGGCCCCCAAUCACGAGCCUAUAAUGAACACUAUAUAUAGCAGAACAAUCUGCAUGUUCUUCCGUCCGUCCAACGCCACUGCCUCUCCUCCUCUGUAGGUCUGCUUUUUUUUUCUUUCUUGGAUUCAACCUGGUAAGUCUCCAAUCCAUUGUGCAGCUUAUCCAGAUUUCUUGGUACAUACAUCGCCCUCACUUGUGUCUGCUUAUUGUGAUUGCAG
rnacentral:lncRNA from 7 species